UGAUGAAAAUUAAGGGCCGGAGCCACGUCGAGCGUUACUCCAAAACCUGUCCGGUCCGCACGUCGUUACAAAGAAACCACGUUGGUCCAACCUUGAAGCCUCAAUUGCGUGCGUUGUCGGUGCAAAUAAUCCAAAAGGUCCCGAAUUCCCACGCUCCUGAGAAAGAUUCACGUACAAUAUAUCUGACCACACCUGUUGUUGUCUUCUUUCGCCCGACACCGACUCAACACACUGAACUCUCCUCUCGUUUCUAUAUCAUUUCCUCUCUCUCCCACUCAUUCUCUUCGAUGGCACAGGCCGAAUUGCAGGAAAAGCAGACGAAUGCACCGGAUUCCGGUCAGAAGUAUGACUUCGUUGGGGAGGAAAUGGAGAGGCAUAGGAAGAGGAGGAAGAGGAGGAAGCGAGAUUGUGUAACCGUCGAAUUUGUUGAAAAAAAGAAGAAAGGAGGGGUUCUGCGAAGGGACCCAUUGGAGGUUUUCGGUACGGACAUAAUGUUGAUGAUACUGAGUAACCUCGACGCACGCAGCGUGGCACUGUCUCUCGUCGUCUCCCGUGGCUGGUACGGGGUCGCCUCCAGUGAUCGCAUCUGGAGCCCCAAGGCUCUUAUGGCCUGGGCAGGGAGUAAUCAGGGAAGUUCAAGUACUAGAGGAAGACCGAAAGAGUUAGUUCUGGGGUGUGCGGAAAGGUUGCGACUGCAAUUGAUUGAAAAUAUUGACUUAGAGGAUAAACGACUGUUGGAGGAACUGUGGCUUGGGAAAGCACACAUACCUCGCCUGAUGCAAAUCCGGGGAUUGUCCAAACUGGUGGCUUAUUCAUUAGCUGUCAUGGAUGGCAAGCGUGUAACUAUCUUCUUGCCCUCCCCCCUCCUUGCUCUCUCUCUCUCUCUCUCUCUCUCACACUCACACACACACAAAUGCAUUUAAAUUCACAUGCACACUGACAUGACAUAUUUGCAGUCUGCACCCGUGCACAUUUAUAGCCCCUUAUAUUUAAGGGUCAUGUGACUGACCUGUUCCUUUGUUGUCAGAACCGUAUCAUGAAGGAUGAUUUGUGUGAUCAUGCUUGGGAGUUCCAUUUUAAUAAGGUAUGUAAUAUUUGCAUUAGGUCAUAUUAUGUAUUUAGUCUGGCUAUUGACAUAGUACCUUAUAAUCAAGGGCGUGCUGCAGUGAUGAUCUAUACGCCAAAAGUCUCACUAUAGCAUGUCAGAUAAUUUAGAGGUCUAAUGUGGAAAAGAUCAAAGUAUAGUUUUUGUAGGUUAAUUUACUAUUUUUGAAGUUAACGUGUAUGCUAUGAAGUAAAUGGUAAUGAUUUUUUUAUUAUUUUUUUCCCUGUAGCAUAAACAUGAACUUUGUAUUCAAACAUUUGCACGAAUUGCUGAAUAUUCCAUUAAUUUCAAUCAUUGUCAAAUUUCUCAAAUGAUAUUGAAAGAGCAAAGAACAUGUUUCUAUGUGCGCAUUACCUUCGUCGACUCCUUAAGUAGUUAGAAAAAACACUGCUGAGUAAGCAUUUUCGUGCAUACCCUCAUCAUAUCCUUAGUGCCAGAUUUUCUGGUUUACCAUCGGUUUCAUUUUGUUUUGUUUCCAUAAUAUUCUACCCACUAAUUCUCAAACUCUGGUAUUCUCCAGACUUGGCCAGCUCAUAAAUCUCAUGUUUGUCACCUGGGGCUCCAGAAUAUUGGAGAAAUCUUGAUCCUUAUUGGAAGGGUACAGGCCCACCCAUGCGCCGCUACUUCCAUCCAGACGGGAGCCAAAGUGCAGAUCCUGAUGACAAAGUAUGGGGCGGUCAUGAAUGCUGUUACUUGACUGUCACUAGCAUUGCUGGCGAAGGCAAAAUCAGGGAGCACUAUGUGAGGAUAAACCGAUGGCCACGAAUGUCUGUGUCUAGGAAGCAUGACUGGAGCUGGGAAUUGUCAAACCACCUGUAUUCCUACUCCAGCAUCCCCGAUGCUAACAAGGAAGGUGGGACUGGGCCACAAUAUGGAGUUAUGUAACUUCUUCUUCUAUUUUUUUCAACACUUGUAAAUAAAGCUUUAGGGUUUUCCAGAUAUAUCAGUGUUGUGUCACAUGGUCCGAGUUAUGGACAUAUUGAGUAUAUCUAGUGUGUUUGUACAGAGCGAAUAAGCUAUUAGCCUAUUUCAAGGUAAAUGUGUCUUGCUUGGUUUUCCCCAUUAA